rnacentral:rRNA from 1 species
AUUGAACGCUGGCGGCAGGCCUAACACAUGCAAGUCGAACGAGUGGCGGACGGGUGAGAACUGUCUGGGAAACUGCCCGAUGGCGGGGGAUAACUACUGGAAACGGUAGCUAAUACCGCAUACCAGCGGAUGUGCCCCAAUGGGAUUAGCUAGUAGGUGGGGUAACGGCUCACCUAGGCGACGAUCCCUAGCUGGUCUGAGAGGAGGACCAGCCACACUGGAACUGAGACACGGUCCAGACUCCUACGGGAGGCAGCAGUGGGGAAUAUUGCACAAUGUGCGCAAGCCUGAUGCAGCCAUGCCGCGUGUAUGAAGAAGGCCUUCGGGUUGUAAAGUACUUUCAGCGAGGAGGCGUUACUCGCAGAAGAAGCACCGGCUAACUCCGUGCCAGCCGCCGCGGUAAUUC